rnacentral:rRNA from 1 species
UACGGAGGAUGCAAGCGUUAUCCGGAAUGAUUGGGCGUAAAGGGUCCGCAGGUGGCCGUGUAAGUCUGCUGUCAAAGAAUGAGGCUUAACCUCAUCAAGGCAGUGGAAACUACACAGCUAGAGUACGGUCGGGGUAGAAGGAAUUCCUGGUGUAGCGGUGAAAUGCGUAGAGAUCAGGAAGAACACCGGUGGCGAAAGCGUUCUGCUAGACCUGUACUGACACUGAGGGACGAAAGCUAGGGGAGCGAAUGGG